rnacentral:rRNA from 1 species
UCGGAUCUAGCGGCGGACGGGUUAGUAACGCGUGGGAACGUACCCAGAUCUACGGAAUAGCCUCGGGAAACUGAGAGUAAUACCGUAUACGCCCUUCGGGGGAAAGAUUUAUCGGAUUUGGAUCGGCCCGCGUAAGAUUAGAUAGUUGGUGGGGUAAUGGCCUACCAAGUCUACGAUCUUUAGCUGGUUUGAGAGGGUGAUCAGCAACACUGGGACUGAGACACGGCCCAGACUCCUACGGGAGGCAGCAGUGGGGAAUCUUAGACAAUGGGCGCAAGCCUGAUCUAGCGAUGCCGCGUGAGUGAUGAAGGCCUUAGGGUCGUAAAGCUCUUUCGCCUGUGAAGAUAAUGACGGUAGCAGGUAAAGAAACCCCGGCUAACUCCGUGCCAGCAGCCGCGGUAAUGCGGAGGGGGUUAGCGUUGUUCGGAAUUACUGGGCGUAAAGCGCACGUAGGCGGACUAGUCAGUCAGAGGUGAAAUCCCAGGGCUCAACCCUGGAACUGCCUUUGAUACUACUAGUCUUGAGUUCGAGAGAGGUAAGUGGAAUUCCGAGUGUAGAGGUGAAAUUCGUAGAUAUUCGGAGGAACACCAGUGGCGAAGGCGGCUUACUGGCUCGAUACUGACGCUGAGGUGCGAAAGUGUGGGGAGCAAACAGGAUUAGAUACCCUGGUAGUCCACACCGUAAACGAUGAAUGCCAGACGUCGGGUAACAUGCUAUUCGGUGUCACACCUAACGGAUUAAGCAUUCCGCC